UACGUAGGUGGCAAGCGUUGUCCGGAUUCAUUGGGUUUAAAGGGUGCGUAGGCGGCCCGGUAAGUCAGUGGUGAAAUCUCCUUGCUUAACAAGGAAACUGCCAUUGAUACUGCUGGGCUUGAGUACAGAUGCUGUGGGCGGAAUAUGACAUGUAGUGGUGAAAUACAUAGAGAUGUCAUAGAACACCGAUUGCGAAGGCAGCUCACAAAACUGUAACUGACGCUGAGGCACGAAAGUGCGGGGAUCAAACAGGAUUAGAUACCCCAGUAGU
rnacentral:rRNA from 1 species